AAACUAGUUAACCCGAGGCGCGUGGGCGGCCACGGGUUAUAGUAGUCGUUUGGUUUGUUUGUUUGUUUGUUUGUGACAGGUGAAUCUACUCACCUGGAUGCCACAGCACUGCGUUUACAGCAUGGAUAGCCUUCAUACAACAAGUUAUUAGUUUUAAUAGUGGCAGAAUUUCAUGUUAAACCUUUGUUGUCAAAUAAAAACGAGCAAAAGCUAAGAAGCUUGUGACUGGGUCUGCUUACCUGGAUGCUCUAGCACUGUGUUUACAGCAUGGGUAGCCUCCACACAACAAGUCAGUACUUCUAAUAGUGGCAGCUUUCGGUGUUAAAGCUUCGUUGUCUAAUAAAAGCGAGCAAAAUGUAGCUUGAACAGAACUUGCACAUGCGUUACUUAUAACUGAAGUGAUCCUGUACCAGGUCCAGAAACAAUGGAACAGGGUCACUAAAGUAGAAAGCUGUAUAUACCAGGAACAAUGGAACAGGGUCACUAAAGUAGAAAGCUUGCUUUAGCUGACUGGGAUCCAGCAGGACCUGGAGCCAUACUUCUCUGAGACUCCAGGCUUCUCUUUGCUGUGAUCCUAAUCCACAGUGCAUAUAUCUAUAGUACUACUACCUGUUCUCAAAUGUUUCAGCAUGCCUCCAGUCUGGUUUAGUUUUAUUGCUCCUGAGUUGCUGUGCAAGUCAUGCAUGCAUGAUGAUGAUAACAACAUCACUAUAAUUAUGGCAAUGCACUGCAUUAUAUGGUUUCUUUAUAAUCAUGUCACCAGCCGAGGGUUUGCACUUUAGUGCUCUAGUCUAGAAUAGCUACUCUGCCAGGAUCUGUAAGUUUCGAACGGAGAAGUAUACCAGCCAAGGCCCCAGCGAAGGAUCAUUUCACAAGUAAGCUCUGUGUGUGUAUAGCGAUCAUCAUUUUCCUAGUUCAGCCUUUAGAAGCCUUUUGAGCUGAUUUAAUAUGCUUGUCCACCUACCUAGAUAGCCUCUGAGUGUGUGAAAUAUACUGGAAGAGUAGCUUCCAUUCGCCUCUAGCAAAGAAAGGUGCAUAACUUGGAAACAGUGACAGUUUUCUUUAUUUAACUUCUUAGCAAAGUAGUCUACAGUAGUUACUGUGUCAGGAUCUCCUGGUUUCCAACAAAACAGUCAAGCAGCCAAGGGCCAGAGCAAGGGAUCACUUCAGAGUGUGGCAAAGAAAGAUGCACCCUUAGUAACAGUAACAGUUCUCUUCAAGCUACCUUGUAGAACAGUCGAAGAGUCAACCAGCCAAGGACAGAGCGAGAGAUUACUUUAGAGCUGUGAAGAAUGCUGGACACCGGAAAGUUUGGGCUAACAGAUUGGUUGAGAUGGUGGGAGUCCAUAGGCAGGCCAGGAGUAGAACUGCUUACAUUCUGUGAAACAAUCGUCACUGCUAUCUGCCAUGGUACCACCACCAUGUUAUGGGUCUGAGAAGUCCUACUCACUGUCACUACUAUCCAAGAUACCCAGGAUACCUCAUCCCCUGUGUACAGAGGCCUCUUUGUUAUUGUUGUACCAUAGAAUUAAUUGUAAUUGUAUUUCUUAUAAUGUAUGUUCACUUUUGAGAUUGAUA